rnacentral:rRNA from 1 species
GAUGAACGCUAGCGGCAGGCUUAAUACAUGCAAGUCGAGGGGCAGCAUGGUGUAGCAAUACACUGAUGGCGACCGGCAAACGGGUGCGGAACACGUACGCAACUUACCCAAAACUGGGGAAUAGCCCGGGGAAACCCGGAUUAAUACCUCGUGAGAUAAUUGAAUGGCAUCAUUUGAUUAUUAUAGCUCCGGCGGUUUUGGAUGGGCGUGCGACUGAUUAGGUAGUUGGCGGGGUAACGGCCCACCAAGCCUACGAUCAGUAACUGGUGUGAGAGCCCGACCAGUCACACGGGCACUCAGACACGGGCCCGACUCCUACGGGAGGCAGCAGUAAGGAAUAUUGGUCAAUGGACGCAAGUCUGAACCAGCCAUGCCGCGUGAAGGAUGAAGGUCCUCUGGAUUGUAAACUUCUUUUAUAUGGGAAGAAAUCCAUCUUUUCUUGGGUGGUUGACGGUACCAUAGGAAUAAGCACCGGCUAACUCCGUGCCAGCCGCCGCCGUAAUAC